UUAUAUGGUAAAGAACUUAUGGAUUGCAAAGGUCAAGUCAUCCAAUAGAAUAACCGUUUUCUGUUUCGUUCAUCCAAUAGCAGUUUACUUUUUAUCAUCGGUAACAAUUUGAAAUAUGUAUUAUCUUUUAAAAAAUUGUUGAAUUAAUACUUCAUAUUUCAUGGUUGUGCUAUUAAAUAUUAAAAUAAAUCUCUAAUUGUUUAAAUUUAAAUAAAUACAACGAAUGAUGUCACCGUCCUUUAGUAUUUAGCAGUAAUGGCGGAUAGUAUAAUUGUUUGUAAGCGAGGAGAAACAUUGCACAGUCAAGCUAGAAAUAUUAUUUUAAACGUAUAUAAGUAUUUUGGAAAGCAGAAAUCUAUUCGAAGUGACAUUUUUAACGAAACUUCACUAGCUACUGAUGUUUCUGUAUCGACAAUUAAAAGAAUUGUAACCGAAGGAAACAAAACUGCGGACGAUGACCUGAAAAUGGAAAACAUG
rnacentral:lncRNA from 1 species